UACGAAGGGGGCUAGCGUUGUUCGGAAUUACUGGGCGUAAAGGGCGCGUAGGCGGCUUGCACAGUCAGGCGUGAAAUUCCUGGGCUCAACCUGGGGACUGCGCUUGAGACGUGUGGGCUUGAGUGGGGAAGAGGGUCGUGGAAUUCCCAGUGUAGAGGUGAAAUUCGUAGAUAUUGGGAAGAACACCAGUGGCGAAGGCGGCUUCCUGGACUCAUACUGACGCUGAGGCGCGAAAGCGUGGGGAGCAAACAGG
rnacentral:rRNA from 1 species